UUUAUUGGAGAGUUUGAUCCUGGCUCAGGAUGAACGCUGGCGGCGUGCCUAAUACAUGCAAGUCGAGCGAAUGGAUUGAGAGCUUGCUCUCAAGAAGUUAGCGGCGGACGGGUGAGUAACACGUGGGUAACCUGCCCAUAAGACUGGGAUAACUCCGGGAAACCGGGGCUAAUACCGGAUAAUAUUUUGAACUGCAUGGUUCGAAAUUGAAAGGCGGCUUCGGCUGCCACUUAUGGAUGGACCCGCGUCGCAUUAGCUAGUUGGUGAGGUAACGGCUCACCAAGGCAACGAUGCGUAGCCGACCUGAGAGGGUGAUCGGCCACACUGGGACUGAGACACGGCCCA
rnacentral:rRNA from 1 species